rnacentral:rRNA from 1 species
AUUGAACGCUGGCGGCAUGCCUUACACAUGCAAGUCGAACGGUAACAGGUUAAGCUGACGAGUGGCGAAUGGGUGAGUAAUACAUCGGAACGUGCCCAGACGUGGGGGAUAGCUCGGCGAAAGCCGGAUUAAUACCGCAUAAGCUCCGAGGAGGAAAGCGGGGGACCGUAAGGCCUCGCGCGUUUGGAGCGGCCGAUGGCAGAUUAGGUAGUUGGUGGGGUAAAGGCUUACCAAGCCUACGAUCUGUAGCUGGUCUGAGAGGACGACCAGCCACACUGGGACUGAGACACGGCCCAGACUCCUACGGGAGUCAGCAGUGGGGAAUUUUGGACAAUGGGCGCAAGCCUGAUCCAGCAAUGCCGCGUGCAGGAUGAAGGCCUUCGGGUUGUAAACUGCUUUUGUACGGAACGAAAAGGCGCCUACUAAUACUGGGUGUUGAUGACGGUACCGUAAGAAUAAGCACCGGCUAACUACGUGCCAGCCGCCGCCGUAACAC